AAUAAACCAAUUUUUCACCUUUUACCUACAAUUUUUGACUCUUUGUCUUAUUCAAUUUUUUUUGCGAUUGAUAUUUUUGUUUUUAUUAAAUGAUGAAUCAUGAAUAGUACUUUACGUGUGACUAAUUUUUUUCUAAUUUCCUAAAAACUUUUUAAAUAAGACGGAUAGUCGUUGGACACGGAAACCGAAG
rnacentral:pre_miRNA from 1 species